rnacentral:lncRNA from 1 species
AAAAGCAAAUUAUGUGUCAAAGUCCACUGGAAAUAAGUUACUACAGAAAUGAAAGGCCGGUAUACUCAGAAACUUCUAGAAACAUCCAGAGUUGGAUGUUGUAAGCUCCUGGGACAUAGUGAUCAAUGAACAAUAGUUAUUAUGGCAAUGCUGAUGUUGAUGUACUGAAUCAUUUCAGGUGAGCUGAGACAGACGAGAGAGAUGAUCUCUAGAGAAGACAUAAACCCUUGCCCUGACCCCGCC